AUACGGAGGGUCCGAGCGUUAUCCGGAAUCAUUGGGUUUAAAGGGUCCGUAGGCGGGAAUCUAAGUCAGUGGUGAAAUCUUGCAGCUCAACUGUAAAAUUGCCAUUGAUACUGGAUUUCUCGAAUUAGUGUGAAGUGGUUAGAAUGUGUAGUGUAGCGGUGAAAUGCAUAGAUAUUACACAGAAUACCAAUUGCGAAGGCAGAUCACUAACACUAUAUUGACGCUAAGGGACGAAAGCGUGGGGAGCGAACAGGAUUAGAUACCCCAGUAGUCC
rnacentral:rRNA from 1 species